rnacentral:rRNA from 1 species
AUGGCAAUGCUGCCUCAGCUGGCCUCGUCCGAAUGCUUCGGUCUCGGUUCACAAAACAGCCCUUACUACCUGCAGUGCGUGCAUCGCAAGGAGGGCGGCAAUCGCAUCGAGGCGAACGCCGACGCCCUCAUCGAAAACAUGCGCGCCCGAUUCUUCGUGGAGCCGUGGGGGGAGCACCCCGGGGCCGGGUACGUCCACGUCCGCUGCUGCUACAACAACAAGUACUGGGUACCUCUGGAGGUGCAGGAGCCCGGCGCCCACGGCAGACGCCCUCCCUCUUCCUCUUCCUCUUCCUGGGUCAUUGGCACCACAAAUGAACCGGAGGAGGACACGUCCAGCCCGCAUUGCACGCUCUUUCGGCCCGAGCGUUUCAAGGCCAACGAAACUAUCAGGUUCAUCCAUCUUGUCCUAAAAAAAUGUGUUUACGGGCCCCUAGUAGGAAGACACGACUCCAUACCCCAGUUGCAACUACAAGAGUUUAAGGAUGAUAUACCUAUUAGAGAUAUGAGACUAUAA